rnacentral:rRNA from 1 species
ACAAUGCAAUUCGAGGGGUAUAGUUCUUCGGAGCUAGAGACCGGCGCACGGGUGCGUAACGCGUAUGCAAUCUACCUUUUACAGAGGGAUAGCCCAGAGAAAUUUGGAUUAAUACCUCAUAGUAUGUGAGAAUCGCAUGGUUUUCACAUUAAAGUUCCAACGGUAAAAGAUGAGCAUGCGUCCCAUNAGCUAGAUGGUAAGGUAACGGCUUACCAUGGCGACGAUGGGUAGGGGUCCUGAGAGGGAGAUCCCCCACUCUGGUACUGAGACACGGACCAGACUCCUACGGGAGGCAGCAGUGAGGAAUAUUGGACAAUGGGCGCAAGCCUGAUCCAGCCAUGCCGCGUGCAGGAUGACGGUCCUAUGGAUUGUAAACUGCUUUUGUACAGGAAGAAACAACUCUACGUGUAGAGUCUUGACGGUACUGUAAGAAUAAGGAUCGGCUAACUCCGUGCCAGCAGCCGCGGUAAUACGGAGGAUCCAAGCGUUAUCCGGAAUCAUUGGGUUUAAAGGGUCCGUAGGCGGUCUUAUAAGUCAGUGGUGAAAUCUCCCCGCUCAACGGGGAAACGGCCAUUGAUACUGUAAGACUUGAAUUAUUAGGAAGUAACUAGAAUAUGUAGUGUAGCGGUGAAAUGCUUAGAGAUUACAUGGAAUACCAAUUGCGAAGGCAGGUUACUACUAAUGGAUUGACGCUGAUGAUGA